UAAAUAAAAUGUAAUCCUCUUUGCCACGUGUCAGCAUUUGGUUGGCUAUGAGAAGAUAACACUAUCUUCUCCCAACCACUCACACAUGGACACAUGUCCCACUCACCCUCUCUCUUCCUUUUCUCUUCCUUUUUCCUUUCUUUUCUUUUCUUUUUCUCUCCCUUUUUCGGUGGACACGGCAGCCCCCCCCUUCUCCUUCUCUUUUCCUUUUUCCUUUCUUUCCUCUCUUCUCUCCCUCUCACGCAGAACCCAGCCCCUUCCCCCUCUUCCUUCUUCCUCUCUUCGUCUCUCUCUCACACUCACACACACACAUGGACCCGAGAGAGAGUGUUGAGCCGAAAAUGGAGGGUGAGCACUGGAGAACACAAGGUUGAGGGGGAGAGCCCGAGAAUGAAAGAGAAGAAGAAGUAGAGAGAAUCCGGCCAUGGGCUUUAAGAGGAUUGUGUCAUCAUUGGAGACAUCAAUGGGUCCUUCAAUGUAGAGUUGGAGUCGUGAGUCCAAUGCAGCCAGAUGUUCUUUUGGCUGCAGGUAUUCCGGUCGUAGUUGAUGGUAUUGUAGAAAUAUACUUGGAAUAUUAUGACUGAAGCUCGCCGCGACGGUUGUAAUUGUCGGACCAUGGGUUGUCCACUAUUUUAUGGGUUUGUUUAUGGCUCGUGACGCUUGUGUCACUUAAUCUUUGUUAAGCCAUUUCUAUGAUGUAUUUAUUAUGAGAAAAGACUUAAACAGAUAGAUGUAAUAUGGCUCUUUGUUUAUGAUUAUUUGUAAUAGAGGUUUAUGUUA